GUGAGAGAGAAGCUGCUGCAGCCCUAAUUGGCCAUUUUGUAUCUGGCUGCUGUUUGCUGCAUUGCUGUCUCUUCCAACUGUGGAGUACCGGAGCUGAUAGGAGAGCAAUCUGCAAUCGAUUUAGCAAGUCUUCACUAGGUCCGCUAAAUCGACAUUUGGUGGAUCAACCGCUGCAGCGUCGAUCCACAAUUUUAGCUUGAAAGGACUAUAAACUGAGAGACUUGCUAUAGUUUAAAAUUGGCAGCUGGUCGGGAGAUGAAUGCCAAGCAAAGUGAGUGUACAGGAGGUUCCUGCUGUUUCUGCAGGGAAGCAUCCCUGGGUGAGACAUCUGCUGUUCAAACUUCACAACACAUUGUAUCAGGAAGACAGAUAAUUCUCCGAUCUGAGAAAUUAACCUAACCUACCUGCAGUGAAGCAGAAGUGUGAACAUCUAUAGUGGGGGUGUUCUUCAGGCUUUGGUGCAGUACAAAGAUCCAUCCUCCAAUCCUGUGGAUUUGUUUGAAAUUUGAAACUUUAUUUUGUGGGGUAUCUGUCCAUUUAAGGAAAAAUCCUUUGGGGUUUAAUAAGGAUUAGAUCUAUAAAGUUUUAUGUACAUUUUUCUAUAAACUGAUAGAAUGUAAUAUCCACAUUAAAAAAAAUCCUACAGAAUUAUAUAGAAGGGAUAUGCUUUCCGUUACAUCUAUAGGGAAGUCUAAAAAUAUAAAUAAGUACUAACAUUUUCUAAUAAAUUCUAUAUGUCUUUUCUAUAAAGGUUUGUUAAACAGUUUGUUUUAGUUUUUAUUCUAAUAUUGUAAUGCCAGAAAGAAUCUCAAUUCCUGAAAAAAGUUGAGAACUAGAUUUUUAACCUUAGAAGAGGAUCACAUUUGAAAAGUUUGCAGAAAUGUUAUACUGA